rnacentral:tRNA from 1 species
UCCAGGGAGGGCUAGUGGUUAGGCCACAGCGCUCUCACCACUGCGGCCCGGGUUUGAUUCCCAGCCACUGGGG